AGGGAAAAAGAUACAUAGUUGGCUUACAAUCGCCACUUCACACAAUUACAUGAAUAAAGCAUUACAUCAUCCAAAUACAAUCAAGGUCCGACUACGGAACCAAAAUAAAAGAAGAACCCCAAAAGCGACACAGAUCCCCGAUCGACCCCAACUGGGCUCCACUACUAAUCAACUAGAACGAAACAACACAAAGGACAAGAUCUUCAUCGAUCUCCUCCUUGAGCUUGGUUGCGUCAUCUGCACGGACUCAUCGGCACCUGCAAGCUAGUUUGGAAGUAUCUGUGAGCCAUGGGGACUCAGCAAUCUCGCACCCUCGCGAUCAAGACUAUUUAAGCUUAUGGGUAAGGUAAAGAUAUGAGGUGGAGCUGCAGCAAGCGACUAGCAUAUAUGGUGGCUAACAUACGCAAAAGAGAGCGAGAAGAGAAGGCAAAGCACGUUCAAGAAAUCUAUGAUCAAGAAGUGAUCCUAAAACAACCUACGUCAAGCAUAACUCCAACACCGUGUUCACUUCCCGGACUCCGCCGAGAAGAGACCAUCACAGUUACACACGUGGUUGGUGCAUUUUAAUUAAGUUAAGGUUCAAGUUAUCUACAACUGGACAUUAGCUGGCAUGGCUUUCGAAAUCCCUGCAGGGGUGUCCCAACUUAGCCCAUGACAAGCUCUCACGGUCAACAAAGGAUAUACCUUCUCCCGAGACAUUCCGAUCAGACUCGGUAUCCCGGUUCUACAAGACAACUUCGACAAGUUAAAACAAAUCCAGCAACACCGCCCGAAUGUGCCGACAAAUCCCGAUAGGAGCUGCACAUAUCUCGUUCUCAGGGCACACUCAGAUGAGCAGUCCGUACAACUAAAACCAGCCCUCGAGUUUCCCCGAGGUGGCGCUGCAAGGGGCUCUAGUUUGGACCAACACUCAGAGGAGCACUGGCCCAGGGGGUUAAAAUAAUGAUGACCCUUGAGUCUGCAGAACCCAAGGGAAAGAAAAGGCUAGGUGGCAAAUGGUAAAACCAAGGUUGGGCAUUGUUAGAGGAGUUUUAUUCAAGGCGAACUGUCAAGGGGUUCCCAUUAUAACCCAACCGCGUAAGGAACGCAAAAUCCGGGAACAUAACACCGAUAUGACAUAAACUAGGGCGGCAAGAGUGGAACAAAACACCAGGCAUAAGGCCGAGCCUUCCACCCUUUACCAAGUAUAUAGAUGCAUUAAUUAAAUAAGAGAUAUUGUGAUAUCCCAACAAAAUAUCCAUGUUCCAACAUGGAACAAACUCCAAUCUUCACCUGCAACUAACAACGCUAUAAGAGGGGCUGAGCAAAGCGGUAACAUAGCCAAACAACGGUUUGCUAGGACAAGGUGGGUUAGAGGCUUGGUUCAACAAUAUGGGAGGCAUGAUAAGCAAGUGGUAGGUAUCGCAGCAUAGGCAUAGCAAAAGAGCGAGCAACUAGCAAGCAAAGAUAGAAGUGAUUUCGAGGGUAUGGUCAUCUUGCCUGAAAUCCCGCAAGGAAGAAGAACGAGUCCAUGAAGAAGACAAACGGACGUAGCCAACGGAUCCUCACAAACACGAUGUUACCGGAUUACCGAGAAGAAGUACGCCGGAAAGAAAGCAAACAACAUAGUAAACAACCACCACAUAAACAUGGCAUGAUGCACAAAGUAUGAUGCAAGUCCGGUUUAAUGAAGCAUGGCAUGGCAAAAUGCACAAACAAUCCUACAAAUUAAGUGGAGCUCAACAUACAACUCCGUUGCAUAUUGACGAAACACCACAUUCAAGUUAUUUAGUUCGAUCUCAUUUAUGUACCCAACAAUAUUAAAUGUUGUUAAAACAUGGCAAGAGGGUGAAGCAAAGUAAAACUACCUAUCUAGUCAAGUUUAAAUGAGGUCGGAACAACAAACAACAAGUCCGGAAAACCUCAUGUGCAAUAUUAUAGGUUUGGUACUGUUCUACCCUAAACACAAUUUUAGAGUUAUUAAACAUGCAAAGUGAGUAUACCAUGUUAAACUAGACAUUUUUC
rnacentral:lncRNA from 1 species